AUUGAACGCUGGCGGCAGGCCUAACACAUGCAAGUCGAGCGGGGUUUUCGGACCUAGCGGCGGACGGGUGAGUAAUGCGUAGGAAGCUGCCCGAUAGAGGGGGAUACCAGUUGGAAACGACUGUUAAUACCGCAUAAUGUCUACGGACCAAAGUGUGGGACCUUCGGGCCACAUGCUAUCGGAUGCGCCUACGUGGGAUUAUCUAGUUGGUGAGGUAAUGGCUCACCAAGGCGACGAUCUCUAGCUGGUUUGAGAGGAAGAUCAGCCACACUGGAACUGAGACACGGUCCAGACUCCUACGGGAGGCAGCAGUGGGGAAUAUUGGACAAUGGGCGCAAGCCUGAUCCAGCCAUGCCGCGUGUGUGAAGAAGGCCUUCGGGUUGUAAAGCACUUUCAGCGAGGAGGAAGGGUGGUGUGUUAAUAGCACAUCAUUUUGACGUUACUCGCAGAAGAAGCACCGGCUAACUCUGUGCCAGCAGCCGCCGUAACAC
rnacentral:rRNA from 1 species